UACGGAAGGGGCGAGCGUUGUUCGGAAUCACUGGGCGUAAAGCGCGCGUAGGCGGCUUUGCAAGUGCGGCGUGAAAGUCCUGGGCUCAACCUGGGGACGGCGCUGCGGACUGCAUGGCUGGAGUCCGGAAGAGGGCGGUGGAAUUCCGAGUGUAGAGGUGAAAUUCGUAGAUAUUCGGAGGAACACCGGUGGCGAAGGCGGCCACCUGGUCCGGCACUGACGCUGUAGCGCGAAAGCGUGGGGAGCAAACAGG
rnacentral:rRNA from 1 species